GGGCCCGCACAAGCGGUGGAGCAUGUGGUUUAAUUCGAUGAUACGCGAGGAACCUUACCAGGGCUUAAAUGCAGAAUGACAGAUUGGGAAACCAGUCCUUCUUCGGACAUUUUGCAAGGUGCUGCAUGGUUGUCGUCAGCUCGUGCCGUGAGGUGUCAGGUUAAGUCCUAUAACGAGCGCAACCCCUAUCAUUAGUUGCCAGCGGGUAAUGCCGGGAACUCUAAUGAGACUGCCAGCGCAAGCUGCGAGGAAGGUGGGGAUGACGUCAAAUCAUCACGGCCCUUACGUCCUGGGCUACACACGUGCUACAAUGGUUGGGACAAUGGGCAGCCACUACGCGAGUAGGAGCUAAUCCUCAAACCCAAUCUCAGUUCGGAUCGGAGUCUGCAACUCGACUCCGUG
rnacentral:rRNA from 1 species